UACGUAGGGGGGCAAGCGUUGUCCGGAUUUAUUGGGCGUAAAGAGCGUGUAGGCGGCCUGAAAGGUCAGCUGUGAAAACUCGAGGCUCAACCUCGAGACGUCGGUUGAAACCAUCUGGCUAGAGUCCGGAAGAGGAGAGUGGAAUUCCCGGUGUAGCGGUGAAAUGCGCAGAUAUCGGGAAGAACACCCGUGGCGAAGGCGGCACUCUGGGACGGUACUGACGCUGAGACGCGAAAGCGUGGGGAGCGAACAGG
rnacentral:rRNA from 1 species